rnacentral:rRNA from 1 species
AGCAGCCGCGGUAAUUCCAGCUCCAAUAGCGUAUAUUAAAGUUGUUGCAGUUAAAAGCUCGUAGUUGAAUUUCGGGAUCAAUACGUCGGUCGUGCUUCGGUACGUACUGGCGUAAUUGAUUUCUCCCUUCUGACGAACCAUGAUGUCAUUAACUUGGUGUCAUGGGAAAUCAGGACUGUUACUUUGAAAAAAUUAGAGUGUUUAAAGCAAGCUAACGCUUGAAUACAUUAGCAUGGAAUAAUGAAAUAGGACGUUCGAUCCUAUUUUGUUGGUUUCUAGGAUUGACGUAAUGAUUAAUAGGGAUAGUUGGGGGCAUUAGUAUUCAAUUGUCAGAGGUGAAAUUCUUGGAUUUAUUGAAGACUAACUACUGCGAAAGCAUUUGCCAAGGAUGUUUUCAUUAAUCAAGAACGAAAGUUAGGGGAUCGAAGACGAUCAGAUACCGUCGUAGUCUUAACCAUAAACUAUGCCGACUAGGGAUCGGAUGAUGUUAAUUUUUUAAUGACUCGUUUGGCACCUUACG